CUGGCUGUAUGCUCAGUCCAUGUCCUGGUAUCCCAUUGGCUGCUCAUCCUAACCUAGGUUACAAUAUUAACCUGCCUUCCUGAUAUGGGUCCUGUGUACUCUUUCUUCUUCUCUGCUGAUUUCUGGUUUGAAGAUCAAUCUCACUGCAAUGGGAAAGCAUAUCUUGCUGCUCCCACUGGUCCUGUCUUUGCUCAUGAGCUCCCUGCAAGGUAAGGUACUGGCAGAUGGUACUUGCCACUGUUAGGCAGACACACUGAUUCUACAGUUUAGGGGAUGUGAUUAGCAUGAAAUAGGAUAUCGUUAGAACUGACCCUGCUUCAUUCUGAUAUCUAUAUCCACUUCUUCCCCUUGCUUCAUCUCUUCGCACUCAAAGAUACUUUCCUUUCCUUCUCUUCAUACUUUCUCCUGCUCCAUGUCACCAUCUCUCUCUCUUUCUCCUUUCCACCUCUCUUCAUGUCUGUUCUCUGUAGUGCUUAAGCAUGUUCAGUUCCUCAAGUUUACAUGCACAUUGGCUUAUAUUUGGAUUGUAAGUGGGAAAGGAAAUUCAUUACCAGGAUGUAAACAGUAAAAAUAUUGAUUCAUCCAAUCCAGUAUGAUAGAAUACUAACUUUAAAAAUGGAUUCCUGUGAAGAUUUCCUGUAUCAGAGAUGCUUUCCUUUGUUGUUUAUGCAUUGAAUACAAUACUGUCUGAUAAUGUCAGACUCUUGUCCCUUUCUGCCAUCUCUCUCUCUUAGAUGCCCUAGAAUCAUAAUGCUGUGUGGUACUUUAGGGACCCCACAUCAGAACUCCUAUUUUUCAUUCUGAUAACUUGGUCUAUUCUCAUGGUAUGAGGUUGCAUCGAUUUUCCAACUUUUUUUUUGUAGAUUCCUGUGGUCAUGAACCUUCAUGAAUGUGUUAUCUCAGCAUACAGCCAGCUCUUUUACUGGCUAUUGCUUAUUUAUUCACCAGAGCCACAAACUCAGCUCCAAUUGGUGCUUGAGUUUGGAGCCUGAAUGAGACCCUUACAUUGGCUUUUCAGCUUUGCAGUGCAUCCAAUGUGCAAGAAUCGAUUCUAGAGGAAUUUGUCGGCAUGAUAUAUAUAUAUGUGUCACGCUGAUUCUGAUGAGGUUUGUUCCUGGGUUGUAGCAACCACUCGAGAUGGAAAAUUUGUAUAUGGAAACCAGAGCUGUGCUGAGUGCAACGCUACGACUGUUGAGCAAGGAAGUCUUAUAGUAUCAACAAACUGUUGCUCAGCCUCCCAUUUCUGCAAUAUGGUAUAUCGCUGAUACUUAAUUGUAUGGAAGGAUUUUAGUGCUCUUUAUUGAGUCUUGACACUGGAGCAUGCCAGAAAGAAUAAUCUACUGACCAUGUCUGGACAACUCACUAUGAUUUCUACAUCGUGUUUUCUGACUACAUGUAUAUCAUAUGUUCUUGGGUGAUCUGUAAUAAAUUGAAAGCCUUACAUAUUUUAAUUUGAACUAUAUGCUGUUUAAAUUAUUUUUUGAACUUAAUUUAUUUAUUUACAUCCAAACUGUUGCCAUUCCUCCUUGUACCCCCUUCAGGGUUCUUCACCUUAUCCACCCUCUUCUGUACUUCAGAGAAAAUGUUCCCCAAUUCAUGGCAACCCUUACUCUGGGACAUCAAGUCUCUACAUGAUUAGGUACAUUCUCUUACACUAAGGCCAGGCAAGAGGGUAAGUCUUCUGCUACAUAUUUCCCAGGAGCCUCAGAAUAGCCCAUGUAUGGUCUUUGGUGGGGGUAUAGUCUGUAGCAGUAUCCGGGAUCCAGGUUAGUUGACACUGUUUCACUUCCUAUUGGGGUUGCCAUUCCGUAUGGCCCCUUAAAUCUUUUUCCUAGUUCUUCCAUAGGGGUUGCUGACCUCAGACCAUUGGUUGGCUAUAAGUUUCUCCAUAUGUCUUAGUCAGGCAGAUGUACAACCUAUCAACGGACAGCCAUGCUAGGCUCCAAAAUCGCAUGUUGGACCAGUCAUAGACAAGCCAUUCCUUCACUCUUGGGUCCAUUUCUGUCCCUGCAUUUCCCAUUGAUAGGAACAAUUCUGGGCCCCAAAAUUUGAAAGUGGGUUGGUGUUCCCAUCCCUCUACUGGGGGCCCCUUUUAAUUACAGGAGGUGGACUCUUCAUUAUGGACUCUCCAUCUUCCUAUGUUGGGUAUUUUGGCUAAGGUAACCCACAUUGAUUCCUGGAUGCCUUUUACAUCCCAAGUCUCUGGAACAUUCUAGAGGUUCUUCCCACUCACCAUCCCUACCCAUGGCAGCUAUAUAUUUCCAUUCAUUCUCCUGACCCUCUGGGCUUCUCUGCGCUCUCUUUAAUACAUGAUCCUGUGCCCCGCUUUCCACUCAGGUAUUUUUCUCCAUCUGCCUCCCAUGAGUAUUGUGUUCCCCUUUCCAAGUGGCAUUGAAGCACCCUCACUUGGGCCUUUCUUCUUGAAAAUCUUCUUUCAAUCUCUGGGUUGUAUGAUAGGUCUCCUGCACUUUUUGGCUAAUAUCUACUUAUCAGUGUGUACAUACCAUGCAUGUCCUUUUGAAUAGCUCAUUCAGGAUGAUAUUUUCUAGAUCCAUCGCUUUGCCUGAAAAUUCAUGAUAUUCUCAUUUUUAAUAGCUGAAUGGUAAUCCAUAUUGUAAAUGAACCAACCACAUUUUCUGUAUCCAUUCUUUGGUUGGGGUACAACUGGGCUAUUUCCAGUUAGUGGCUAUUAUGAAUAAGGCUGUGUUGACAUAGUGAAACACAUUUUUUUGUGGUAGGGUGGAGCAUUGUUUCAGUAUAUGCCCAGGAGUGGUAUAGCUGGGUUUUGAGAUAGAACUAUUUACAAUUUUCUCAGGAAAGGCCAGCUUAAUUUUCAGUUGUUGUACCAACUCACAAUUCCACCAGCAGGGGAGGAGUACUCCUCUUUCUUCAUAUUCUCACCAGCAUAUGCUGUCACCUGAGAUUUUGGUCUUUCCCAUUUUAAUUGGCAUAAAAUGGGAUUUCAGGGUUGCUUUGAUUUGCGGUUCCCUGAUGACAUGUAUGAUGUUAAACAUUACUUUAAGUGCUUCUCAGCCAUUUAAAAAUUCAAUUUAAACAUUUUCACAUUUAUUAAUAUAUGGAUGGGUGUCAGCCUCUGUGUAUGUGUUCAUAUUAUUCACAUUCAAUGACAGAUGUAUGUUCUAAACAACUUAUGAGCUCCAUGAUCUCUUUGUACCACAUUGGGUCUGAAAUUUGAAGUUGGUUGUCUGGCUUGGCACUCAGUCCCUUAUAUCCUGAGUCGUCUCUGCUUUCAAAUGUUAAAAUCAGAUAAUUAGGUAGUUGUUGGGUUGCCUAGUAUUCCUGGUUUUUUUCUGUCAAGCCUAAUGACAGGACCUAUAUUCCUGGCACCCAAAUUAUAGAAGAUGAGGACAGAUUACUACAGAUUUGCAUCUGGUCUUCCCAAAAUGUCCAUUGCAGUGUGUUACACACACACACACACACACACACACACACACACACACACACACACACACAGAGACAGAUACAGACACAGACACACACACGGACUGUAAUGUGCCUUUGGUGUCAAAAAAUCAUGCCCUCAUUGUCAUGCUUUCCCAAACUUUUUAAUUUCCUUGUUUCCAUGUUAUACAGUUCUAUUUUUUUAUUUUUGUUGUUGCUUUUUAAAUAUCCCACCCGGGUUUUUUUAUACAGUUUACUAGAAGUGACACCAACAUAGUGAAGCAGAUGUUGUUGAGGUGUUACACGUUUACAAUGGUAAGUCUAGCACUUGGGAGAGGAAGGCUGCUGAAAGAGGAAUUCUUCAGUCUCAGCUACAAAGAGUUCAAUGCCAGCCUGAAAUAUAUGAUACACCAUCUGAGAGGGAGAGAGAGAGAGACAGAGAGAGACAGAGAGAGAGGGAGAGGGAGAGGAAGAGGGAGAGGGAGAGGGAG
ensembl:lncRNA